CCCCUCUCAGGAUGGUACCUGGAGAGUUUCCAGGAUUCUGCCAGUCUCGGCUCUGGGAGGGAGAGUCGAGCAGAGGCUUACCCAUUACAUUCCUAGCUUGGGCAGUGGCUAGGGAGUGGAAGGCCAUCUGCUACAAGU